ACUGCCCCUGCUACAGUGGGCGCACCGGUCGCACGCUAGCGAGCGCAGGAGACGCCACGGCCGCUCUACUGCGAGAAGCACGCACAGAAUCCAACCGAAGUGAACCGUUUCAGCCCCAUUCGCCCACUGUGGCCGGUGUUUACGUCCACAUCCGACCCGUCCACUCGCAGCUCUGCGGCCGCAAGGCACAUUUCAACGUGACUGGACCCGAGGGAGCGACGCCGUGCUGUCGCUGCCUGCAUUGUUUUCAUAAGGAGGGGGAGGAGGACACGUUUGCUUCACUAGUGAAAGCGCUGCUGGUACAGACGAAUGAUCCGCUGAAAGGCUUCACAGUAACAUAUGACAUGCAAAGACCCCAGGAUGUGGAGGUGCAGCACAUUUUAGUCCGUGCUCUCUGGGACCUUUGACCUCUGAAUGUUAUAAUAAGGCACCGUGGGCUGCUCCAUUAGAGCCAGUUAGACGUCACAGUGGCUGGUGGAGGUCAAUGACAGACGCUUUUAUCCUCGACGGUGAUCAUCUGGACAUAAACAGUGAUAGUACCGCGUCCACCAGCGGCAGCGCCUCAUGACGUCAGGGUGCUGAACCACAUCCACAUGUUGCGCUGUGAUGUCGCGGUUUGAAGUGUUGGAUUUCCUCAUGCUCAGAUCUAGUCAGUCAGGUCGCCCAGGUAAUGCCCUGCUUUGCCCAAUAGUACAGACUGUUCCAGUCGCUGUUUGUUGCGGCCAAAGGUUGCAGGAGGUCACCAACAAGAAGCUCAUCUGGGUUUCAGCAGAAAAGAGGGAAAUGAAGGUCUCGUGAUGGUCGACGCGCUCAUUCAGAGGCAGCGAACACGGACUUCUUGUAAUUUGGAGCUAAAAAAAAUAUCUGUUUUUCUGACAUUCCUCCAGGGCUUGAGUCACAACAAAGGGGCCGGACUCCUUACAAAUUAGAACACGAUGUCCAUCUUAUGCAGACACGAGCUUUGAAGUUCUAAAAUUAGCCUAUUAACACUGUUAUUUUGUCCGAAAAGCAUUUCCUUUCCGUCCGUGUGAAACAGAUUAAGAUUAUAUUUUUUUCCAUUAACAGAUUUUGUUUGUGGGAGUUUUCCCGAACGUCACGAGGCGUUUGAUGACCCGUCAAAACCUGUAGAUCAUAAAUCUGAGAAAAGGAGAUGCCUCCUUGAGCGUCUCUCCUCGGGCUGAGUCCGUUAAAAUAAUCACGGACCAGAACGCGGGCACCUGAAAUAAGACGCCGUGCCCAUGUUUUCAUGUCAUAACAGGAAAAGCGCGGCUGUGGAUGACAACGUCCAACCGAGCUGCAUUCCUCGUAGGUCACCUAGUUUCCUGCGGCUGCCAGUCCUGGCUGGCGCAGCUCAGCGAGCCACUUACUGGAACUGAGUCUGUCAACCACACCACCUCCACCUGUGCUGCUCCUGCUACGAGGCCGCGCCUCCCCGACCAGCUCACACCAUGGAAGCUUCAAUUCAAACAGCCCCAAAAUGCUUCGGAUGCUUGACAUAACUUAUGGCGCACGACUUAAAAAGGAUCCAUCUACGGCUAAUUGAAUCCAGACGGGACCACUUCCUGCUUCCUUAGUGCGCGUAUUAAUGGUUGGAAACGAAGCCCGGUACCACUGGGCCUGUCUGGUCCUAGUCAGAACCAGCUGAGAGCAUAAUAUUCACUGCAGCAGAUUUGCUUCGUACUCGCUCAUAUGUUCAUUGAGUCUAUUCCCUCCACACACACACACACACACACACACACACACACACACACACACACACACACACACACACACACACACACACACACACACACACACACACACACACAGAC